rnacentral:rRNA from 1 species
UAGGGAAUAUUGCAAAAUGGGCGAAAGCCCGAUGCAGCAACGCCGCGUGGGCGAUGAAGGCCUUCGGGUCGUAAAGCCCUUUUUGAGGGGAUGAGGAAGGACAGCACCCUCAGAAUAAGCCUCGGCUAACUACGUGCCAGCAGCCGCGGUAAAACGUAGGAGGCGAGCGUUAUCCGGAUUUACUGGGCGUAAAGCGCGUGCAGGCGGAUUGGAGAGUUGGAUGUGAAAGCUCCCGGCUUAACUGGGAGAGGUCGUUCAAUACUUCCAGUCUUGAGUGCAGUAGAGGGAAGUGGAAUUCCGGGUGUAGUGGUGAAAUGCGUAGAUAUCCGGAGGAACACCAGUGGCGAAAGCGGCUUCCUGGACUGUAACUGACGCUCAGACGCGAAAGCUAGGGUAGCAAACG